rnacentral:tRNA from 2 species
GGCCACUUAGCUCAGCUGGUUAGAGCGCAUGCUUAACACGGAGUAUCCGAUUACGCAUGAGGUCGGCGGUUCGAUCCCGCCAGAGGUCA